rnacentral:rRNA from 1 species
CCUACGGUGGGCUGCAGUGGGGAAUAUUGCACAAUGGGCGCAAGCCUGAUGCAGCCAUGCCGCGUGUGUGAAGAAGGCCUUCGGGUUGUAAAGCACUUUCAGCGGGGAGGAAGGCGGUGAGGUUAAUAACCUCAUCGAUUGACGUUACCCGCAGAAGAAGCACCGGCUAACUCCGUGCCAGCAGCCGCGGUAAUACGGAGGGUGCAAGCGUCAAUCGGAAUUACUGGGCGUAAAGCGCACGCAGGCGGUCUGUCAAGUCGGAUGUGAAAUCCCCGGGCUCAACCUGGGAACUGCAUUCGAAACUGGCAGGCUAGAGUCUUGUAGAGGGGGGUAGAAUUCCAGGUGUAGCGGUGAAAUGCGUAGAGAUCUGGAGGAAUACCGGUGGCGAAGGCGGCCCCCUGGACAAAGACUGACGCUCAGGUGCGAAAGCGUGGGGAGCAAACAGGAUUAGAUACCCUAGUAGUC